rnacentral:lncRNA from 1 species
UGAACCUUUAGGUUUUCCUUUGUGAACUGAGGGAGGAAGCUCUUGUCUGAAUACACGGACAGCAAGCGGAGUUGCUUGAGGGCAGCUGUGUGGUUCUGGAAGUUAUGUCUUCGCACAGAAGAUGGUGAUGGUUUCAGGAAGGCAGUUUAUGAUCACUGGCCAACCUGAUCUUCCGGAGCAGGCAGAGUCACAGAGGGAGAAUUAAAUGACAUCACAGGGGAAAACGCAUUCUGUGCUUGUGCCACUAAUCCUAUCUGACCAGAAAGCAGAUGAAAGAUGGUAUAUGGCAUAUUCUGGCUACAGAUCAGAAUUACAUCCAAUGGUACAUUCCAUUUGUGAAACCUGA